rnacentral:misc_RNA from 1 species
GAUGAAGAACGUAGCGAAAUGCGAUAAGUAAUGUGAAUUGCAGAAUUCAGUGAAUCAUCGAAUCUUUGAACGCAUCUUGCGCUCCUUGGUAUUCCUUGGAGCAUGCCUGUUUGAGUAUCAUGAGCAAAUCUCAAAGUCAAUUCCUUUUGUUGAUUCAAUUGGUUUUGCUUUGGACUUGGAGGCCUUGCAGAUUUCACAGUCUGCUCCUCUUAAAUGCAUUAGCUGGAUCUCAGUAAUUAUGCUUGGUUCCACUCGGCGUGAUAAGUAUCACUCGCUGAGGACACUGUUAAAAAGGUGGCCAGGAAAAUACUGAUUGAACCGCUUCUAACGGUCUAUUAAGUUAGACAAUUACCCUUAAGUUUGAUCUCAAAUCAGUUAGGACUACCCGCUGAACUUAAGCAUAUCAAUAAGCGGAGGA